UACGUAGGGUGCGAGCGUUGUCCGGAAUUAUUGGGCGUAAAGGGCUCGUAGGCGGUUUGUCGCGUCGGGGAGUGAAAACCAGGUGCUUAACACCUGGCUUGCUUUCGAUACGGGCAGACUAGAGGUAUUCAGGGGAGAACGGAAUUCCUGGUGUAGCGGUGAAAUGCGCAGAUAUCAGGAGGAACACCGGUGGCGAAGGCGGGUCUCUGGGCCGAUACUGACGCUGGAGGAGCGAAAGCGUGGGGAGCAAACAGG
rnacentral:rRNA from 1 species